UAGAUGAAUAUUGCAUGAAUGAUUGAAUGAGGCUGUAUGCAUAAUGAGAUUUCAUCUCCAAAGACUUCAAAUACUCUGGAGGCUAGUAAUACUUGUUCUUUUCCUUCUAGCGCUUGUUUAAAGAGUGUUCAUGGAAAAACAUCACUAUAUUCAGGGAGCACGAAGAUACAGGGAGAAUUUUAAAUAGAAGACAAGUGACUGCCAAGUCAAUGCUUUUUACCCUUUCUCAAGUUUCACCCUUCAUAUACCUUUUGCUGUGUCUGGACUAUAUUAGUUUGCCAGGGCUGCCAGAAGAAAGCACCACAAACUGAGCAGCUUAAACAAGAGAACUCUAUCUUGUCUCAAUUUUGGAGGUUGGGAGCCCCCAAUGAAGGUGUUGGCAAGUGUUCCUGCAGCACACCUUGGUUGGGGUCUCAAUGGUGUAACUGCUGACAAUGAUGGAAGAGGAGGAGGAGGAGGAGGGAGAGGAAGAAAAGAGGAAGAUGAUGAACAAGAUUAUCUUGUAUAGUCUCCCCAAAAAAUAAUCUACUACAUAAAAUUUAAUACUUCACACAAUGCAGGAUUUUGGCGGCAAGUGGUCACACUUAAAUAAGUGAUGAAAAUGAGACUCACA